AGAGUUUGAUCCUGGCUCAGAAUCAACGCUGGCGGCGUGCCUAACACAUGCAAGUCGCACGAGAAAGGGUAGCAAUACCUGAGUACAGUGGCGCACGGGUGAGUAACACGUGAAUUAUCUACCUCCGAGUGGGGAAUAACUGAGAGAAAUCUUAGCUAAUACCGCAUAACACUUACGAGUCAAAGCAGCAAUGCGCUUGGAGAGGAGUUCGCGGCCGAUUAGUUAGUUGGCGGGGUAAUGGCCCACCAAGACGAUGAUCGGUAUCCGGCCUGAGAGGGCGCACGGACACACUGGAACUGAAACACGGUCCAGACUCCUACGGGAGGCAGCAGUGGGGAAUUUUGCGCAAUGGGGGAAACCCUGACGCAGCAACGCCGCGUGGAGGAUGAAAUAUCUUGGUAUGUAAACUCCUUUCGAUGGGGAAGAUUAUGACGGUACCCAUAGAAGAAGCCCCGGCUAACUUCGUGCCAGCAGCCGCGGUAAUACGAGGGGGGCAAGCGUUGUUCGGAUUUAUUGGGCGUAAAGGGUGCGUAGGCGGUUUGGCAAGUCUGAUGUGAAAUCUAUGGGCUCAACCCAUAGUCUGCAUCAGAAACUGCCGGGCUUGAGUAUGGGAGAGGUGAGUGGAAUUUCCGGUGUAGCGGUGAAAUGCGUAGAUAUCGGAAGGAACACCUGUGGCGAAAGCGGCUCACUGGACCAUAACUGACGCUGAUGCACGAAAGCUAGGGGAGCAAACAGGAUUAGAUACCCUAGUAGUCC
rnacentral:rRNA from 1 species